AUACGGAGGAUGCGAGCGUUAUCCGGAUUUAUUGGGUUUAAAGGGUGCGUAGGCUGUGCGUUAAGUCAGGGGUGAAAUGCCGUCGCUCAACGACGGAGCUGCCCUUGAUACUGGCGUGCUGGAGUACGGAUGCCGUUGGAGGAAUGAGUGGUGUAGCGGUGAAAUGCUUAGAUAUCACUCAGAACACCGAUUGCGAAGGCAUCUGACGACUCCGUCACUGACGCUGGGGCACGAAAGCGUGGGGAUAGAACGUGAUUAGAUACCCUGGUAUUCCACGCCGUAAACGAUGAUGACUAACCGUCGGCGAUAGACAGCCGGUGGCCAAGCGAAAGCGAUAAGUCAUCCACCUGGGGAGUACGUCGGCAACGAUGAAACUCAAAGGAAUUGACGGGG
rnacentral:rRNA from 1 species